AUUAAAACCCAUUAUACCCUUUUACUUCUCUUAACCUUAUAUACUCUCUUCUUCAACUUAACUCUCUUCUUCACUACAGCAUCCAUCUCCGGCACCACCCUAGCAUUUAACAUAGUAGUAUCCUCAGAAGAAAUAAGAGACGCUGCUUUUAGGGUUUUUUCAUUUUCGAGGUUAGAAUUUUUGGGUAGAAUAGAAAUAGGUAUAGGUAUUUUGCAAGGCAGACCACGAUGGGGACGGUGGAAAGUGGAAUAAGGAGGUGGGUCGAUGAGCUCAACGUAGCUGACAGAGAAAACGACGUAAUCAAUACCCUCAUUGAAAAUUUAUAACAAGUAGGGGUAUUUUAGUAAAAUUACCCAUUAACAUACAAUAACAUACCAUCAAUCCAAACAAAAAAACUAUUAUUAAGCCACAGUGAACAACACAGUCCAUCCAAACAUGGUACAAACCAUACUGUACCAUACCAUACCAUAUUGUACCAUAAAUUAUGAAACCAUGGCAAACCACCAUCCAAACAGGCUGUAAACCUCCCCUAAUCGCUAAUCCAUUGUGUUACCCAUCACCUCAUCCCGAAAAUCUGUCGUAUUCCACGCACAACCAACACCUCUUAUCUCUAAAAUUUUAGAGACCUCGAGCUUCGAUUGCUGACUUUGGCUUAGAGGAAUUCUUUGUUUCUUGCCAAAAUCCAAUCCAAGUCAGGAGCCAUAAAUUUGGAUUCGGCUUUUGAGGGAUAUGUUUUCUUUCAUCUUUCUCAAUUAAUCUCUCAUCCCCGCUCAAACGGUUAUAUUUUGAAUUCAAACCAAUAUUUUAUGCUAUAAAAUACAUGGGGUUAAAGGCCAAUUUUUCAUAGGGGGAGAGCACUUUUUUCUUGGGGAAAACUUGAGAGUUCUGGAGGUGCGCACCUCUACCCUUUAUAACCAAGAAAUUUUCAGAGUAGUCUGAAAAAUCAUUCAAAUCGAUUGGAAUUUGAGUGCGAAUUGAAAUUGUAGUGGAAGUUGUUCCGACAAAGUUUUUGAAGUCCCAAUUGGUUGUCCCUAAAAAGGUUCGGAAUUGCUCAGUAUACCAAUUGAAUAUUGACCAUAUGAGGAUGGUCAUAGUGAAAAAACUUCUUAUAUGUUUUCUCUCCAAAGAGAAUUAGUAGUUCCUAUAAAUAGAAAUAUUGUGAGAACUACAUCACGCAACGUCUGUAUUCUAAGUAUAUUCGAAUAAAGAUUAUGUAUUUUCUAA